AAGGCUGAAACUUAAAAGGAAUUGGUGGGGGAGCACCACAACGGGUGGAGCGUGCGGUUUAAUUGGACUCAACGCCGGGCAGCUCACCGGGAUAGGACAGCGGAAUGAUAGCCGGGCUGAAGACCUUGCUUGACCAGCUGAGAGGAGGUGCAUGGCCGUCGUCAGUUCGUACUGUGAAGCAUCCUGUUUAGUCAGGCAACGAGCGAGACCCACGCCAACAGUUGCUAGCAUGUUCUCCGGAAUGAUGAGGACACUGUUGGGACCGCCUCUGCUAAAGAGGAGGAAGGAAUGGGCAACGGUAGGUCAGCAUGCCCCGAAUUAUCCGGGCUACACGCGGGCUACAAUGGUCAGGACAAUGGGAAACGGCACUGAAAAGUGUAGUCAAUCUCCUAAACCUGUCCCAAGUUCGGAUUGUGGGCUGCAACUCGCCCACAUGAAGCUGGAAUCCGUAGUAAUCGCGUUCAAAAUAGCGCGGUGAAUAAGUCCCUGCUCCUUGCACACACCGUA
rnacentral:rRNA from 1 species